rnacentral:rRNA from 1 species
GGCUAACUACGUGCCAGCAGCCGCGGUAAUACGUAGGGGGCGAGCGUUAUCCGGAUUCAUUGGGCGUAAAGCGCGCGUAGGCGGCCGCCUAAGCGGGACCUCUAACCCCGGGGCUCAACCCCGGGCCGGGUCCCGGACUGGGCGGCUCGAGUGCGGUAGAGGAGAGCGGAAUUCCCGGUGUAGCGGUGGAAUGCGCAGAUAUCGGGAAGAACACCGAUGGCGAAGGCAGCUCUCUGGGCCGUCACUGACGCUGAGGCGCGAAAGCUGGGGGAGCGAACAGGAUUAGAUACCCUGGUAGUCCCAGCCGUAAACGAUGGGCGCUAGGUGUGGGGGGACGAUCCCUCCGUGCCGCAGCCAACGCAUUAAGCGCCCCGCCUGGGGAGUACGGCCGCAAGGCUAAAACUCAAAGGAAUUGACGGGGGCCCGCACAAGCAGCGGAGCAUGUGGCUUAAUUCGAAGCAACGCGAAGAACCUUACCAGGGCUUGACAUGCCGAUGAAGCCGGGGAGACCCGGUGGCCGAGAGGAGUCGGCGCAGGUGGUGCAUGGCUGUCGUCAGCUCGUGUCGUGAGAUGUUGGGUUAAGUCCCGCAACGAGCGCAACCCCCGCCCCGUGUUGCCAGCAUUCAGUUGGGGACUCGCGGGGGACUGCCGGCGUCAAGCCGGAGGAAGGUGGGGACGACGUCAAGUCAUCAUGCCCCUUAUGCCCUGGGCUGCACACGUGCUACAAUGGCCGGUACAGAGGGUUGCCACCCCGCGAGGGGGAGCGGAUCCCGGAAAGCCGGUCCCAGUUCGGAUCGCAGGCUGCAACCCGCCUGCGUGAAGCCGGAGUUGCUAGUAAUCGCGGAUCAGCACGC